rnacentral:lncRNA from 1 species
UGCUUUCUGUAGGUUUUAAUAGAUGUUUUGGAUUUCAGUUUAUCAAAAUGGUAAAAUUGUUGUACCAUUUUAUUGGUACAUUCAAAGUGCAGUUUUUUAUGCUUUAGUAAUUUAAGUUUUUUUUUUUACUUUCUUUCUUAAAUAUACGUGACAUUUGUAUUUCUACCAGGGCAGGUUGCAGAGAUUAAAGUGGGCAGUCACCGUUGUGUAUCAUUUUGUCUUUUUGAUAAAAGUACAGGAAAGCAAUAUCAUAUGUGACAGGUGACAGCUGAAAGACAGUUUAUAUACGAAGGAAGAAAGGAGGUCUAGAUUACAAAUGUCAUGUUAUAUUCUUCACACUUGAUAAUUUGUGGGUUUUAUUCCAUUGGAUGGGUUUUGAAGAAUAUUACAGAUGGUUUAUGAUGAUGGGAAGCAACGAAAAUUUAAUAUUGUAUGUAUCACAGCUAUAUAUGCUGUCAGUCUGUUUUAGUGGAUGGUUAUUUGGGUUUAGUGUAUUCAUUUUAUGUGUGUAACAUUUCCUUUCAUUGUAAAAUUCAAAGUUGAUACCAAUGAUGAUUUGGUAGAAUUGCUUCUUUUCUUUAUUCUGCAACAAUAAACCUGCAAUGGUUCAUUUUCUGAAAUUCUUCUUUUAGGAGAUACUGUGAACAUUAGAAUGAUUAGUAAAAAUGUAUCACUUUUCAUUUUAGAUCUGUUAUACGUGCCACUGUUGAACUGCAUUUUUCAAUAAGAAAUCCUCAGUGAGGGUUGUUUGAAAGGUAAACUAAUCAAUAGGAAAAAAUACUUCAAAUUUCUUUUUGUGAACCUUAAAUAUUAAUGAAGGAACAAACUAGCAGCAACCCAUGAAUAUUGAGUUUAUCUAUCAGCUAAGGAUAUAUCAAAAUCUGUGAUAACUUUUUAAGAUAAAAAGGAAGCCAGUGAGAAUAUAUGUACAUAUGUUAAAAAAAAAUUAAUUUCCAAAUGUUUUACAACUGCAAUCAUUACAUGGUUGACCACAAUAGAAUAUGGUCUCUAACAACUGAACAGACACUUUAAGUUGUCAUAGCCACAAUCCUGUCAUUGUUUGAUGAUUUUCAACUAAUAUUAUCACUUAGAUUUGUAAAUGUGUUGAGCAACAAGAGGUUCUCCAGCUCUUCAAACACUUUGUUUUAUCAGAACUGUUCAUGUUAACACUUUGUUUGUUGUCCCCCUUUCAUAUAUUUGAAUUAUAUAUAAUAUAUAUAUUUUUUUUUCAAUGCAAAAUAAUCAACAAUCAAUUGUACACUUACAUUAAACUUGUAAUUGCUAUGCUCAUUUGUGUGGUCGUAAUUGACAUUUAAUAAUAUAUUGUGUUAUUGUACAUUUGCAACAUGAGCUUCUGAUACUACCCGAGUUCUUGAGUUCACCUCUGUGUUUUAGUGAGGUCAAUUUUGCUUGAUAUAGUUUUCACUGUUUUGUAGGCAAAUUGGUAUGUUUACUUCCUUUUUGCCAUGAUAUGCAUCCCCUUGGUAUACUCUUUAUAUUAGUUUUGAUUAAAUUUAUUAUUUUAUACAAUUGUUAAAUUUCAAGCUUUUAGUCAGUAAAGAGUGACAAUCCUAAACUGUCUUUGAGCAAAGCAGCCAUUAAUCAAUCAAGCAAGCCAAAUUGUCUUACAGAGAAUAAACAUAUAAGGAUACAUCAUAAUUAAAUGUAUAUUAUUUAAAAAAUAAACUGUAGUAACAAUUGUUAUUUGAAGAAUGAAAAUCUACUUUGACCGAUUUUUUAUAUACAAAUAUUUUGUGAAAUGGUACUAUAGGUAUUGUAAUUAUUGUAAAAAUAUUCUUUGUUAAAUAACAUAAUGGCAUGCACUGCGUUUAUUCUUUUAUGUUUUGCAAGGUCUGUUCUAGACAGAAUAUAAAAAUGUGAUAUUUAACAGGAAUGGUGUACUAGUGUUUAUUUUUUACUUCAUUUAGGGUCUAAUAUUUGUUGGAUUAGUUUGUAAUGUUACUCAUAUACAUGUAUACAUGUAUUAUUUUAAUGCAAUAAUUAUAAUGUACAUGCCAUGUAUAUAUGUUCUUUGAAUAAUUGAAAUAAAACUAUAAAAGAAA